UCCUACGGGGGGCUGCAGUGGGGAAUAUUGCACAAUGGGGGAAACCCUGAUGCAGCAACGCCGCGUGAGUGAUGAAGGCCUUCGGGUUGUAAAGCUCUGUCUUUGGGGACGAUAAUGACGGUACCCAAGGAGGAAGCCACGGCUAACUACGUGCCAGCAGCCGCGGUAAUACGUAGGUGGCAAGCGUUGUCCGGAUUUACUGGGCGUAAAGGAUGCGUAGGCGGAUAUUUAAGUGAGAUGUGAAAUACCCGGGCUCAACUUGGGUGCUGCAUUUCAAACUGGAUAUCUAGAGUGCAGGAGAGGAAAGUGGAAUUCCUAGUGUAGCGGUGAAAUGCGUAGAGAUUAGGAAGAACAUCAGUGGCGAAGGCGACUUUCUGGACUGUAACUGACGCUGAGGCAUGAAAGCGUGGGGAGCAAACAGGAUUAGAUACCCCAGUAGUCA
rnacentral:rRNA from 1 species